GGAAUAUUGGACAAUGGAGGCAACUCUGAUCCAGCCAUGCCGCGUGAAGGAAUAAGGCCCUAUGGGUUGUAAACUUCUUUUAGACGGGACAAAACCCCUUUACGUGUAAAGGGUUGAGGGUACUGUCAGAAUAAGCAUCGGCUAACUGCGUGCCAGCAGCCGCGGUAAUACGAAGGAUGCAAGCGGUAUCCGGAAUUCUUGGGUUGAAAGGGUGCGUAGGCGGACUAAUAAGUCAGUGGUGACAGCCUGCAGCUUAACUGCAGAAUUGCCAUUGAUACUGUUAGUCUUGAGUACAGUUGAGGUAGGCGGAAUGUGUCAUGUAGCGGUGAAAUGCUUAGAUGUGACACAGAACACCGAUUGCGAAGGCAGCUUGCUAAGCUGUAACUGACGCUGAGGCACGAAAGCGUGGGGAGCAAACA
rnacentral:rRNA from 1 species